UCUGGUCAGGUCUUUUAGUCACAGCAAUGAAAAAGCUGACUAAACAGUGCCCAUCCUGACCGGUUGGUGUGACUUAACAGGGUAUGGAUAGUGGUGUGUGGCUUCUGAGGCUUGGUCAUAAAAGGCGAUUUGGCCUCCACCUUGGCUUCUUGGAUGACUUCUCUGAGUGGCUGCAUCCCUGGUCAGCUGCCAUCUUCAUGGGGAGACAGUAGGAGCUGGUAACAGACUCCAGAGGCCGCGGGUGGACUCCUAGGAUCACAGAAACCGGCGUGGUUCUUCUCAUUAGUGGGGAAAACUGGAAGCCGAGCCCUGCAACGUGGGAUUCUUGGUAUUUUUUACUCCUCUGAACGUGUGAGCUUAACUCAAGGAGGUCAGGGAGUGUCUGAAGCCAACCCAUGGACUUCUGAAUCCCAGAGGAAGAACUUGUGCACCCUGGAACAUCAUAUGUGUCAAGUAGUGUGAUCCAUGAGCUGUCAAGGUUUUCUACAAAGCAUCAGACAUCUGCAUGUGUCCUACCACUGAGCUACACUCCCAGCCUUAGGAACGCUCUUUUUCUUUAAAGAGGGGAGUCUUUCUCUUCAGGAGAUUCCAAAUAUGAUGAGAUCUACAAUAAGACUUCUGAAACACAUCUUCAAAAUAUCUGAAACAAGUAUUUGGGGUAGUAAAUGCUUACUGGACAUAGAUGCUAGAUUGGUUCCUCUUACAGUGAGGAGGAAAGAAGAAAAUGGGUUCUUUUCUCCGUGUCAAUUUGCUCAUCUCAGCUGCUCCUAGCAGCCCCUCACCCCCCGACUGGAAAUAAAACUCCAACAAUGACAGCAGAACAUUCUGGAUCUUUGAGAAUUUUGCUGCUGGAGGACAAAAGGUCUCAGCCUCACAGAAAACCAGGCAGUGACUCACUCGCCCUCUACCUUUCACUGGAGGAGAAUCAUUUUGGGGUGAAAAUUCUCAAGGAAGUCAGUUUAUCUCCUCAAAACAGAAAGGGCUAAUCAAGCAUUGUCUGAUUAAUUAGAGACACUUGGAAAAAAGUGCUAUCAAGGCCUACAGCUGCAAUCAAUUUAAUCAACAUGCAAAGAGCCAAUCAUUGGUUUUCUUGAUUAACAAAGCUGAAUGUUAAACAGAGAAGUGUGACAUUGUCGUGCCAUUAGCUACAGCGACAAAUUGAGAAUUUCCCCUAAAUAUUCAAAGUCAGGCCAGGAUAAAGUGAAAGCUUUUUCAUAUUCAAUUUCUUAACAUUGAACUCUAUAAGCAUGGCCAUUUCAAUUCUUCCCCUUGAUAGUUCAUGUAGGAAAAAUAACUUUCAUCCAAAGAGCAGAGAUGAGCGGUGACUUCAGGAAGCUCCAAGACCCGCCCCCCCCCCAAAAAAAAACCCCAAAACCAAAAAAAAACAAAAAACAAAAAACAAACCCACCCCUGGCCACACAGGUCCCAGUAAAGUUUACCAUGUGUAAUAGUGCUAGUAGUUAUUGUCAUUUGAAAUUACAGAAAAAAAAGACUUGUUCCCAAGCAGCUUUAUGUAACACUUUUUGAAGAGUUAAAAGAUGACUGCGAGUUAAGGACUUUGUAACUUUUAAGUCAUUAGCAAAUCAAGAGCAGAAAACUUUGCCGCCUUUUCGAACUUUAACUAGAGGAUAAUUGCCUUAAAAUUAGAAUACAAAAUAAAAUCAUCUAGACCUUUCUGUGAAAUGAUGGAACUUAAUGUUGCAGAAAGAGUAGGUGGAGUUUAAUUUAAUGCUUUAAUUUAGCUUUCUGGGCUUUUGUAAAGGAUAACUACAGGGUAUCAUUUUCAUCAUUAAGUGUGUCAGAAUAAUAAGAUACCAUAUUUAUGUACUGAUUUCCAUUUUCUUUUCAAAGUUUGGUUAUACUUUUAUGUUCAGUAGUCAAAUAAAACAAAUGAUAUGCUAAAAAGUAGGCUCUGUGAGGUGAAUGACAAUUUAAUUUCUUCCCAGUGUUGGCUGGCUACACAAGAAAAUAAAGAACUGGGGGAAAGUUGACAGGAUAUUUAGUUGACUAGAUUUAUUUCCCAGCAGUUGCAGAGUAUGUUAAUUGUAACUUUUCAGUUAAUGAAAAAUAUUGUGAUAGAACACUGAUGUGGGUGAUAAACGGACUUUAAGCACACAGACGAUAAAAUCCUAUUUCUAAAACUCUGGGAGGAAAUAAUCAGAACUCUUUUGUUGGUUAAACCAUUAUUUUUUUUGGUACAAAGGAUUGAAGUAGAGGCACUCGACCACUGAGCCACAUCCCCAGCCCUUUUUUUUUAAUAUUUUAUUUAGAGACAGGGU